rnacentral:rRNA from 1 species
AGAGUUUGAUCAUGGCUCAGAUUGAACGCUGGCGGCAGGCCUAACACAUGCAAGUCGAACGGUAACAGGAAGCAGCUUGCUGCUUUGCUGACGAGUGGCGGACGGGUGAGUAAUGUCUGGGAAACUGCCUGAUGGAGGGGGAUAACUACUGGAAACGGUAGCUAAUACCGCAUAACGUCGCAAGACCAAAGAGGGGGACCUUCGGGCCUCUUGCCAUCGGAUGUGCCCAGAUGGGAUUAGCUAGUAGGUGGGGUAACGGCUCACCUAGGCGACGAUCCCUAGCUGGUCUGAGAGGAUGACCAGCCACACUGGAACUGAGACACGGUCCAGACUCCUACGGGAGGCAGCAGUGGGGAAUAUUGCACAAUGGGCGCAAGCCUGAUGCAGCGACGCCGCGUGAGGGAUGGAGGCCUUCGGGUUGUAAACCUCUUUUGUUUGGGAGCAAGCCUUCGGGUGAGUGUACCUUUCGAAUAAGCGCCGGCUAACUACGUGCCAGCAGCCGCGGUAAUACGUAGGGCGCAAGCGUUAUCCGGAUUUAUUGGGCGUAAAGGGCUCGUAGGCGGCUCGUCGCGUCCGGUGUGAAAGUCCAUCGCUUAACGGUGGAUCUGCGCCGGGUACGGGCGGGCUGGAGUGCGGUAGGGGAGACUGGAAUUCCCGGUGUAACGGUGGAAUGUGUAGAUAUCGGGAAGAACACCGAUGGCGAAGGCAGGUCUCUGGGCCGUCACUGACGCUGAGGAGCGAAAGCGUGGGGAGCGAACAGGAUUAGAUACCCUGGUAGUCCACGCCGUAAACGGUGGACGCUGGAUGUGGGGCACGUUCCACGUGUUCCGUGUCGGAGCUAACGCGUUAAGCGUCCCGCCUGGGGAGUACGGCCGCAAGGCUAAAACUCAAAGAAAUUGACGGGGGCCCGCACAAGCGGCGGAGCAUGCGGAUUAAUUCGAUGCAACGCGAAGAACCUUACCUGGGCUUGACAUGUUCCCGACGACGCCAGAGAUGGCGUUUCCCUUCGGGGCGGGUUCACAGGUGGUGCAUGGUCGUCGUCAGCUCGUGUCGUGAGAUGUUGGGUUAAGUCCCGCAACGAGCGCAACCCUCGCCCCGUGUUGCCAGCACGUUAUGGUGGGAACUCACGGGGGACCGCCGGGGUUAACUCGGAGGAAGGUGGGGAUGACGUCAGAUCAUCAUGCCCCUUACGUCCAGGGCUUCACGCAUGCUACAAUGGCCGGUACAGCGGGAUGCGACAUGGCGACAUGGAGCGGAUCCCUGAAAACCGGUCUCAGUUCGGAUCGGAGCCUGCAACCCGGCUCCGUGAAGGCGGAGUCGCUAGUAAUCGCGGAUCAGCAACGCCGCGGUGAAUGCGUUCCCGGGCCUUGUACACACCGCCCGUCAAGUCAUGAAAGUGGGCAGCACCCGAAGCCGGUGGCCUAACCCCUUGUGGGAUGGAGCCGUCUAAGGUGAGGCUCGUGAUUGGGACUAAGUCGUAACAAGGUAGCCGUACCGGAAGGUGCGGCUG